rnacentral:rRNA from 1 species
UGGGGAAUAUUGCACAAUGGGGGAAACCCUGAUGCAGCGACGCCGCGUGAGCGAAGAAGUAUCUCGGUAUGUAAAGCUCUAUCAGCAGGGAAGAAAGAAAUGACGGUACCUGACUAAGAAGCCCCGGCUAACUACGUGCCAGCAGCCGCGGUAAUACGUAGGGGGCAAGCGUUAUCCGGAUUUACUGGGUGUAAAGGGAGCGCAGGCGGCAGGAUAAGUCGGAUGUGAAAACCCGUGGCUCAACCGCGGGAUGGCAUUGGAAACUGUCCAGCUAGAGUGUCGGAGAGGUAAGCGGAAUUCCUAGUGUAGCGGUGAAAUGCGUAGAUAUUAGGAGGAACACCAGUGGCGAAGGCGGCUUACUGGACGAUGACUGACGCUGAGGCUCGAAAGCGUGGGGAGCAAACAGGAUUAGAUACCC